AUUGAACGCUGGCGGCAGGCUUAACACAUGCAAGUCGAGCGGGGUGAUGGUGCUUGCACUAUCACUUAGCGGCGGACGGGUGAGUAAUGCUUAGGAAUCUGCCUAUUAGUGGGGGACAACAUCUCGAAAGGGAUGCUAAUACCGCAUACGUCCUACGGGAGAAAGCAGGGGAUCACUUGUGACCUUGCGCUAAUAGAUGAGCCUAAGUCGGAUUAGCUAGUUGGUGGGGUAAAGGCCUACCAAGGCGACGAUCUGUAGCGGGUCUGAGAGGAGGAUCCGCCACACUGGGACUGAGACACGGCCCAGACUCCUACGGGAGGCAGCAGUGGGGAAUAUUGGACAAUGGGGGGAACCCUGAUCCAGCCAUGCCGCGUGUGUGAAGAGGGCCUUAUGGUUGUAAAGCACUUUAAGCGAGGAGGAGGCUCUUUUGGUUAAUACCCAAGAUGAGUGGACGUUACUCGCAGAAUAAGCACCGGCUAACUCUGUGCCAGCAGCCGCCGUAA
rnacentral:rRNA from 1 species